GAUGAACGCUGGCGGCGGGCCUAAUACAUGCAAGUCGAGGGAACGGACGGGAAGCGUGCGCUUCUGAUGUUAGCGGCGGACGGGCGAGUAAGACGUGGAUAACCAACCUAUAAGACUGGGAUAACUUCGGGAAACCAGAUCUAAUUCCGGAUAAUAGUUUGAACCGGAGGGUUCAAAAGUGAAAGACGGGCUUGCUUCGGCUAGGAGAGGGAUCGGCGCUGCUUUGGCUGGUUGGUAAGGUAAGGGCUUACCAAGGCAAGGCUGCAUAGCCGACCUGUGGGGGUGAGCAGCCACCCUGGAUCUGAGACACGGUCCAGACUCCUCCGGGACGCAGCAGUAGAGUAUCGUCCGCAAUUGGCGAAAGCCUAGCGUAACCACGCCGCGUGAGUGAUGAGAGUCUUGCGCUCGUAGUACUCUGUUAUUAGGAAAGGGCAUAUGUGUAAGUAACUUUGCACAUCUUGACGGUACCUAAUCAGAAAGCCCCGGCUAACUACGUG
rnacentral:rRNA from 1 species